AUGCAGUGGCAGCUACAGCAGAGAAGACCUGAAGGAGGCCCGGCCCCGGAGAGAAGCCCUGAAUGCAGUGCUGUGGAAAGGCCUCCAGUCACCGCUUUUAUUUCUGGCAUGAUAGAGUCCACACUGCAGGAGAACCCUUGGAGUGUGAAGAAGAUCAGAGAGCCUUCUGUGAUCUCUUUUCCCGAAGUCAGCACAAGGAGUCACAGUGGGGAAAACCUUGUGAACACAGUGAAUGUGGAUGCACACUCAGCCUUCAUUCAUCGCUCCCCCCGCCCCCUAAGUAUUCGUAUUGGGGAGAAACCCUGUGAGCGUCAGACAUGUGGGAAAGCCUUUUGCAAAUGGACUUCCCUCAGUCAGCACCAGAGAACUCAUACUGAGGAGAAGCCUUUUGAAUGUAAGUCCCGAGGAAACUCUUUGCCAGAGGAAACCUCCUGCCAAGCAUCUGAAAAAUUAUACCAAAGAGAAACCCCGUAAGUGUCAUCGUUGUGAGAAGAUCUUCUGAAGCAGUUCAUCACUUACUGUUGUAUGAUCCACCCGGCUAGGACCAUACUCUAUGAAUAAGAACUUACAAAGGAGAGAAAACCAGCAGUUGCUGUGUAAUUACAAAGCCUUCAGCCCUAGCUUGGUUUCAGUAUGCCCUGAAGAGUGAUUCCAGAGUAUUUUAAAAAAGAGAGCAAAGGCAUAAGGGAAGAGGAAGAAAAGAGGUAGAUGUGACAGAAAAAGGAGUACGUGUGGUUUCUUUCAGGUUUCCCUGCCAAACCCAUGACAAUUUGUUAGCAGUUUUAGGGGGGGCAGGUGGGAGCAGUAUGGGCGAGGUGAAGGGGCCUCCCCCCGCCACCUGACUUAAUACACUCCCGGCCAUUCCGUGUCAGGAGAGCUGGACACUUGGUGCAGCUCUGCAAAUACUUACUGAAAUCCUUUUUUGUUAAAAAAAAAAAACCCCUACUUAAUCAUUAAGUGUCAUAAGUCUUUGUGAUAAAUGUGAAGUCUUGAUUUAUGAAGCACUUAACAACUUAAAAGAAAUUAGAAUACUAAAAAUAUUGUUACCUAAAAUUAUCUCAUAUCUAAGGAGCAAAGAACAAAUAUAUGAAUGGGUACAUUUUGCUGCACCAUUUAAGACCAUUUAAGGUUAUUUUUUCAUUUAUUCUGUAUUGAGAUAUAAUUGACAGAUCACAUAAUUGGCAUAUAACAUGUAAGUUUAAGGUGUUCAACAUUGAUCUUGUUGAAUUUAUAUUGCGACGUGAUUGUCAUUGUAGCAUUAACCUCUGUAUCCUGGCGGUAUCCUGUAUCCUGUGUUCCUAGUGGUGGGAGCAGUUCACAUCUAGUCUCUUGCCAAGUUUAAUGUUUGUAAUACAGUUUUGUUCCUUGUAACCCCUGUACCGUGUGUUAAAUCUCCAGGAGUUACUUAGUAGCUGCAAUUAUGUGCCCUUAAACAACAUCUCCCUGUCCCCUGCCAAGCCUUUGGUAACCCAUCAUUCCACUCUCUUAUUUGAGUUCAGAGUUUUUUGUUUUUCUUUUAAGAAUCUUCGUAUAAAAAAUACAGUAUUUGUCUUCCUGUGUUUGACUUAUCUCACCUAGCGUAAUGUCCCCAAGGCCCAUCUGUAUUGUCAGAAAUGGCAGCAUUUCCUUUUUUCUAAUGGGUGAAUAACAUUCCACUGUGAAUAUAUACCACAUCUUCAUCCUUUGAUGGACACUUAGGCUGUCAC
rnacentral:lncRNA from 1 species